rnacentral:rRNA from 1 species
UACGUAGGGUGCAAGCGUUAAUCGGAAUUACUGGGCGUAAAGCGUGCGCAGGCGGUUUUGUAAGACAGUUGUGAGAUCCCCGGGCUCAACCUGGGAACUGCAUCUGUGACUGCAUAGCUAGAGUACGGUAGAGGGGGAUGGAAUUCCGCGUGUAGCAGUGAAAUGCGUAGAUAUGCGGAGGAACACCGAUGGCGAAGGCAAUCCCCUGGACCUGUACUGACGCUCAUGCACGAAAGCGUGGGGAGCAAACAGG